GAAAGGAUCACUUAUCAGUUUUGGUGAAGACGAGACAAACCCCAAAUAUAUUUGCUUCAGCCUCACACUGACACUGACAACAAAUCAGUUCAAGGAGGACCCUCUGCUGCUCAUUAAGAUCCCAGAAAAGAGAGAGAGAGAGAGAGACACAUGCAGUCACUGUCCGAGCGAACGACGUAAGGAGGAGCUUCAGGAGACUGAACACCAGGAAGGCAGCAGGACCAGACGGAAUAUCUGGACAUGUUCUCAGAGCCUGCGCUGACCAGCUGGCACCGGGGUUCACAGAGAUCUUCAACCCCUCCCUGGUCCAGUCUGUUAUUCCCACAUGCUUCAAACUGUCGACAGUGGUCCCUGUCCCGAAGAAACCUCAUCCCAGCUACCUAAAUGACUGUAGCUCUGACCUCCAUGGUGUUUGAAGUGCUUUGAGAGUCUCGUCAAGGAUUUCCUCACCUCCUCACUACCUCUGACCCUGGACCCGCUGCCUGAUCUCCCGUAAUGAAGAGAAGGCAUACCUAGAGGAAGUGAGAGAGUGGACAGCUUCAGAUACCUUAGUGUCUGCAUCACAGAGGGCCUAUCAUGGUCCUCUCACGCCGACACCUUGGUGAAUAAAGCCCAUCAGCGUCCCUACCACCUCAGACGUCUAAGGGACUCUAGGCUGCCCCUCAAGGUGCUAAAGACUUUCUAUACCUGCACCAUAGAGAGUGCCCUGUCAGGCAGCAUCACAGCCUGGUUUGGGAAUGGCAACAAGAGGGACUACCUGGCCCUGCAGAUGGUGGUGCGGCCAGCAGAAUGUUGUACUGUGUAUGAUUGUGUAUGUGACAAUAAAACUUGAUUUAAUUUGA